GAUGAACGCUGGCGGCGUGCCUAAUACAUGCAAGUCGAACGAAAUACCUUCGGGUAUUUAGUGGCGAACGGGUGAGUAAUACGUAGAUAACCUGCCUAUAGGACUGGGAUAACUAUUGGAAACGAUAGCUAAUACCGGAUAGGUAGAACGAGGGCAUCCUUGUUCUAUUAAAGUUGGGAAACAACACAUAUAGAUGGAUCUACGGCGCAUUAGUUAGUUGGUGGGGUAACGGCCUACCAAGACGAUGAUGCGUAGCCGACCUGAGAGGGUGAACGGCCACACUGGGACUGAGACACGGCCCAGACUCCUACGGGAGGCAGCAGUAGGGAAUUUUCGGCAAUGGGGGAAACCCUGACCGAGCAACGCCGCGUGAGUGACGAAGGCCU
rnacentral:rRNA from 1 species